GACGAACGCUGGCGGCGUGCUUAACACAUGCAAGUCGAACGGAAAGGCCCUGCUUUUGUGGGGUGCUCGAGUGGCGAACGGGUGAGUAACACGUGAGUAACCUGCCCUUGACUUUGGGAUAACUUCAGGAAACUGGGGCUAAUACCGGAUAGGAGCUCCUGCUGCAUGGUGGGGGUUGGAAAGUUUCGGCGGUUGGGGAUGGACUCGCGGCUUAUCAGCUUGUUGGUGGGGUAGUGGCUUACCAAGGCUUUGACGGGUAGCCGGCCUGAGAGGGUGACCGGCCACAUUGGGAAUGGGAUAAGGCCCAGACUCCUACGGGAGGCAGCAGUGGGGAAUAUUGCACAAUGGGCGGAAGCCUGAUGCAGCAACGCCGCGUGCGGGAUGACGGCCUUCGGGUUGUAAACCGCUUUCGCCUGUGACGAAGCGUGAGUGACGGUAAUGGGUAAAGAAGCACCGGCUAACUACGUG
rnacentral:rRNA from 1 species